CCUACUGAGUUGCUGGGAUUUUAGGUAUGUGCCACUACACUGGGCUUUUAUCUUUUUAAAUUGGUUAAUCUGGAGGAAUAGUAUAUAUAUACGUUUUUUAGUCCAUAUAAAAUCAAUAUUUUACCACUUCAAGUGAAAUGUAGAAAGCUACCAACAUAGGGGUCCUUCCACCCUCUGUGUUAGCCAGCUCUUUGUCCCUUUGACAAAAACCCCUGAUAAGAACAACUUAGAGGAGGAAAAGUUUAUUUUAGGCUCACAGUUUUAAAGGUUCAGUCUCUGGUGGGUGGACUCCAUUGCCCUGAGCCCACGGUAAGGUAGAACAUGGUGGUAGAAGGGUGUGGUGGUGAAAAACUGUUGAGCUCAUGGCAAUCAAGAAGCAGAGAGAGAGAUCAAGACACUAGGACCAUAUAUAAACCCCAAAGUCACAUUCACAGUGACCUACUUUCUCAGCCAGAUCUUAUCUUCUUACAGCUACCACAGAGGACAGUAGUCCUUUCAAAUUAUCAAUCCAUCAAGUGGAUUAAUCCACUGAUCAGAUUAUAGCUCUUAUAAUCUAAUCAUUUCACCUCUGAACAUUCUUGCAUUGUCUCACAUACGAUCUUUGAGGGGACACCUUAUAUCCAAACCAUAACACCCUCCCUCCCCACUUUAUAAUUAUCUACUUUUUGCUUUCAAGCAUUAAAUAUAUUUUGAAGAACUGUCAAAUAAAAUGGAACAGUCUAUUAAAUGUACCUAUAUAUUUACCAUUUCUAUUGUUCCUCCUUCAUUCUGUUGAUGAAAUUAUUUGGUAAAAUAAAGUGAAUGCUUUUCCUCCCUGCAGGAUGACCUGAUCACCAACUUCUGGGCAUCUGAUCUGCCAUCAAGCUAGCCCACACUCAGUCUAUAGUACAACAACAUUCUUAUAGGUGAACUGUGCAAGUACAUUGAUAGCAGUUUGAUUGUGAUGAGGUCUUUACUCCCUGGAACAGAAACAUCUUCAGUCUUCGUUUCUUUUCUAUUGCUAUAAUACUUGAGUCUGGGUAAUUUAUUUUAAAGAAGAGUUUAUAGUACUGGAAGUCCUAGAGCAUGACACUGUCAUCUUCUCAGCUUCUGGUAAGGGUCUCAUGGUGGAAAGUGGAAGGACAAGUGAAAGAGAAGCAAGAAGAAGCCAAGGAAGCAGAACUUUAUAACAACCUGCUCUUUUGAGAACUAAUCCAGACCCAUGAAAGUGAUAAUUCAUUCACUCCUGCAAGAGAGCUCCACCUCAUGACUCAAAACACCUCUCAAUAUGUUCCAUCUCCCAACAUGGCUAUAUUGAGGAAUUAAGCCUUAACAUGAGUUUCAGUGGACAAACCACAUUCAAACCAUGGAUAUAUUACCCUUUUUGUUUUCCUUCUUCUUCUCC
rnacentral:lncRNA from 1 species